GCCGGAAGCGGUGCAGGCUAGAUACUUUUCAUUUCUUCGCGUCCAUUGCUUCUUUCAGAACUUAGUUCCACAGAGAACUAUAGACUUAUUUAAGCAGGGAAGAAAUACCAGCAAGUACAGUCAUUCAACCUACCCAGGGUCACCAGCAAUGCAUCUAGAGAAGAUACCCCGAGUUCUUCACGUUUCAAGUUCCAAGUUCAGUAGCCACGCUUCUCAAAUACUGUAUCAACUGAAAUUAUUUUAAGUUAAUUAACAUGUUCAUUUUGUGUUAUUUAAAUGUAUGGAAAUUUGAAAUUAGGUGUAGACUUAGAUCUACAGUUUUCAUAUGACUACUAAAAUCACACAAUAAAAAUAUGCAAACCCACCAAACAAACACACAUGGCUUUAUUAUUUUAUAAUAAAGUGCCAUAAAAAUCACUACUCUUUCUGUUGUCUGGAUUCGUUUCUUUCUAGUUCAACUCAUUCAUGCUGUAGUGUAUCACAUAUAGUAGGAUUCUCUCGUAAGUUUUCUGGUUUCAAACAAAUCUGCUAAAAAUCUGUCUAUCACAAGGGAGAACAUAUCGAGUGUGUCUGUUUCUGCUUUUUUAUUAGCUUGGGAAACAACUGAAGUCAAAUCAUUUGGCACUAAGAUUGCCAAAACUGCACACACUGUAUGUCAAUCUCAAGAAAGAUGUUCAGGUGACCCAGGAUGUAGUCACAUGAACUUU